rnacentral:lncRNA from 1 species
GCAAAGUAAGAUCUACAAAUAAGUUAAUAUGACCAAAAUUGUCAAUUGACCCCUAAAGGGGUUAUUGUCCUUUAAUGACAAUUUUUCACAAUUUGUUCAUCAUAUUGGCUAACUUUUAAAAAUCUUCUCCUCUGAAACUACUGAAUGGAUUUGGAUGAAACUUAGCAUGAUUGUUCCUUAGAUUAUCCUGCACAAAGUGUGUGCUUAGAUUUUUGAUCCGUCAAAAAACAUGGCCGCCAUUACUUAAAAUAGAACAUAGGGGUCAAAUGCAGUUUUUGGCUUAUAUCUCAAAAACCAAAGCAUUUAGAGCAAAUCUGACAAGGGGUGAAAAUGUUCAUU